rnacentral:lncRNA from 1 species
CAGCAUUCCUUCUUUGGCAGAAGGGAAAACCUCUCUAGCAACGUCACCUGCUGCCCUGAGCUGCACAGUUCCUUUCUGUUUGUUUACAGUGAGUUGUUCAUCCAUACCAAGCGAAACAGUGGAUGUCGUUCCUUGAGUCUUUCUAAUUGGGGAACACUGGAUAAAGAAGACUUCUUCAGUCCAAAAGGAUAAUGUGACAUUCAAUCCCCACUCUCACUGAGGCAUACCUCUGUUUGGCAAAAGGGAACUUAAAGGAUGAGCUCACAUUCUGUGCCAGAUUUAGGAAGCUAAUGCUAAAGGAAAUACAUACUAUCCUAAGAGUAUCAUAAGACAAAGUCUGACAGUUUUACCCAGAGGUAAGAUAUAUAGCUGUUUUCCAGCCUGUUGGAUUACUUAGAAAAUAUUUAUUCAUC